AUUGAACGCUGGCGGCAGGCUUAACACAUGCAAGUCGAGCGGAGAUGAGGUGCUUGCACCUUAUCUUAGCGGCGGACGGGUGAGUAAUGCUUAGGAAUCUGCCUAUUAGUGGGGGACAACAUUCCGAAAGGAAUGCUAAUACCGCAUACGUCCUACGGGAGAAAGCAGGGGAUCUUCGGACCUUGCGCUAAUAGAUGAGCCUAAGUCGGAUUAGCUAGUUGGUGGGGUAAAGGCCUACCAAGGCGACGAUCUGUAGCGGGUCUGAGAGGAUGAGCCGCCACACUGGGACUGGGACACGGCCCAGACUCCUACGGGAGGCAGCAGUGGGGAAUAUUGGACAAUGGGGGGAACCCUGAUCCAGCCAUGCCGCGUGUGUGAAGAAGGCCUUAUGGUUGUAAAGCACUUUAAGCGAGGAGGAGGCUACUGAGACUAAUACUCUUGGAUAGUGGACGUUACUCGCAGAAUAAGCACCGGCUAACUCUGUGCCAGCCGCCGCAGUAA
rnacentral:rRNA from 1 species